rnacentral:rRNA from 1 species
AUCGAUGAAGAACGCAGCGAAAUGCGAUAAGUAAUGUGAAUUGCAGAAUUCAGUGAAUCAUCGAAUCUUUGAACGCACAUUGCGCCCGGUGGUAUUCCACCGGGCAUGCCUGUUCGAGCGUCAUUUCAACCCUCAAAGCCCUUGGCUUUGGUGUUGGAGGAAUACCCUGUUAAAAGGGUACCCUCUGAAAUUUAGUGGCGGGCUCGCUAGAAUUUUGAGCGUAGUAAUUUUACCUCGUUUUUAAAGACUAGUGGGACUUCUUGCCGUAAAACCCCCCAACUUUCUGAAAAUUGACCUCGGAUCAGGUAGGAAUACCCGCUGAACUUAAGCAUAUCAAUAAGCGGAGGAAAAGAAACCAACAGGGAUUGCCCUAGUAACGGCGAGUGAAGCGGCAACAGCUCAAAUUUGAAAUCUGGCUUCGGCCCGAGUUGUAAUUUGCAGAGGAUGUUUAUGGUGCGGUACCUUCCGAGUUCCCUGGAACGGGACGCCACAGAGGGUGAGAGCCCCGUCUGGUUGGAUACCAAACCUGUGUUAAACUCCUUCAACGAGUCGAGUAGUUUGGGAAUGCUGCUCUAAAUGGGAGGUAAAUCUCUUCUAAAGCUAAAUACUGGCCAGAGACCGAUAGCGCACAAGUAGAGUGAUCGAAAGAUGAAAAGCACCUUGAAAAGGGGGUUAAACAGUACGUGAAAUUGUUGAAAGGGAAGCGUUUAUGACCAGACUUGUGUCGUGUGGCUCAUCCGAGGUUCUCCCCGGUGCACUCCACGCGGCUCAGGCCAACAUCGGUUCUUGUUGGAGGAUAAGAACAGUAGGAACGUAGCUCUCCUUCGGGGGAGUGUUAUAGCCUAUUGUACGAUACUCUGACGGGGACCGAGGACCGCGCUUCGGCUAGGAUGUUGGCGUAAUGGUCAUUAGCGACCCGUCUUGAAACACGG